rnacentral:rRNA from 1 species
GACGAACGCUGGCGGUGUGCUUAACACAUGCAAGUCGAACGAAGUGGCGAACGGGUGAGUAACAGGUGAGUAACCUGCCCGCUUCUUUAGGAUAACGGUCGGAAACGGCUGCUAAUCCUGGUUUGUGGGGUAUGGGGUUGCGGCCUAUCAGCUUGUUGGUGGGGUGAUGGCCUACAAAGGCUUUGGCGGGUAACCGGCCUGAGAGGGUGACAGGGCACAUUGGGACUGGGAUACAGCCCAGACUGCUACGGGAGUCAGCAGUGGGGGAUAUUGGACAAAGGGCGAAAGCCUGAUGCAGCGACGACGCGUGGGGGAUGAAGGCUUUCGGGUUGUAAACCUCUUUCGCGAUCGAACGGGUAGGUGGAGAAGAAGCGCCGGCUAACUACGUGCCAGCAGCCGCGGUAAUUC